CCCUUAGAUGUUCUGGGCCGCACGCGCGCUACACUGACGAAUGCAACGAGCUUAUAACCUUGGCCGAAAGGUCUGGGUAAUCUCCAAAUUUCGUCGUGAUGGGGAUAGAUUAUUGCAAUUAUUAAUCUUCAACGAGGAAUGCCUAGUAAGCGUGAUUCAUCAAAUCGCGUUGAUUACGUCCCUGCCCUUUGUACACACCGCCCGUCGCUCCUACCGAUUGAAUGUGUUGGUGAGGAGCUCGGAUUGGCAGCGGUUGGUGGUUCGCCACCGGCCAUUGCUGAGAAGUCCUCCAAACCGCCCCAUUUAGAGGAAGGAGAAGUCGUAACA
rnacentral:rRNA from 1 species